rnacentral:tRNA from 1 species
CGUCUAGUGGCCUAGGACACCUCUCUUUCAAGGAGGCGACGGGGAUUCGAAUUCCCCUGGGGGUAUUAUAAAA